GUUGCUUUGGCUGAGUGGUCUAGGCGUGUGCCUGCUUAGUACAUGGUGUUACCCGCGAGAGUUCGAAUUUCUCAGGCAACG
rnacentral:tRNA from 1 species